rnacentral:snRNA from 1 species
GUGCUCGCUUUCGCAGCACAUAUACUAAAAUUGGAACGAUACAGAGAAGAUUAGCAUGGCCCUU